rnacentral:rRNA from 1 species
GUCUUCGGACUGCGGAAGAGUGGCGAACGGGUGAGGAACACGUAAGAAUCUGUCCCUCGGUCGGGGACAACUCUUGGAAACGAGAGCUAAUACCCGAUACGCUGUGGAGUGAAAGAAUUUCGCCGAGGGAUGAUCUUGCGUCUGAUUAGCUAGUUGGUGUGGUAACUGCACACCAAGGCGACGAUCAGUAGCUGGUCUGAGAGGAUGGACAGCCACAUUGGAACUGAGACACGGUCCAAACUCCUACGGGAGGCAGCAGUGGGGAAUUUUCCGCAAUGGACGAAAGUCUGACGGAGCGACGCUGCGUGGAGGAUGACGGCCCGCGGGUUGUAAACUUCUUUUCUCGAAGAAGAAACAAAUGACGGUAUUCGAGGAAUAAGCAUCGGCUAACUCCGUGCCAGCAGCCGCGGUAAGACGGAGGAUGCAAGUGUUAUUCGGAAUGAUUGGGCGUAAAGAGUCUGUAGGCUGUAUAGAAAGUCUUUUGUUAAAUUCCUCGGCUCAACCGAGAUCAAGCAAAGGAAACUUCUAUACUUGAGGGAAGU